CCGAGGCGGAGCGGGGCAGCACCGGCAGGGCGGGGCAGACAGGGAUCGGGACAGGAGAGCGGUCCGCGAGCGAGAACGGAUCAGGGAUCAGCGGGGCAGGACGGGACCAGGCCCGGGACACGGCAGAGUGGCGCGGAGCAUCACGUAGUAGCCACAGCCGCAGCCCCUGCCGGGAGUGUGGAGCAAGAUUGGAGUCCUUCCCUGCGCCCACUGCUGCCGCUUUAGCUGGUGUCCAUCUGGAAGAGAGGGAGGAAUGUCACCACAGCCCUGGCACAGUAGCACCCCUGCACCCGAGCCCACCCAGCCCUGCGGGCAGCCCGGCUCUGCUGAGCCCCAAGCACGGGGGCACAGGGACAGGGGAACUGGAGGUCUUUGUUGAAGAUGAAUCAAAGUGGCAACAAUUAAAAAUACUGCAGACCCCAGACACCUUUCUCAGAGGAGAAUGACCACGUGAGUGCAGGGAUCCACGAGACCACGGCACUUUUACUGCUGGACUUGUGCCCAUCAGGAACAUACCCCAAAAAUGGAGCCCAACAAAGUCCUCUGCUGAGGUCUGCCCUUUGCUGCCACAAAGGCUGGAAAUAAAGAGGCAGCAAC